UACGGGGGGGGCAAGCGUUGUUCGGAAUUACUGGGCGUAAAGGGCUCGUAGGCGGCCAACUAAGUCAGACGUGAAAUCCCUCGGCUUAACCGGGGAACUGCGUCUGAUACUGGAUGGCUAGAGGUUGGGAGAGGGAUGCGGAAUUCCAGGUGUAGCGGUGAAAUGCGUAGAUAUCUGGAGGAAUACCGAUGGCGAAGGCAGGUCUCUGGGCUGACACUGACGCUCAUGCACGAAAGCGUGGGGAGCAAACAGG
rnacentral:rRNA from 1 species